rnacentral:rRNA from 1 species
GCAUACUCUAGAGCCCGAUUCAUUUUAUUUUAAUUAAUAAAAUUACUUCCAAAUCCUAAUAAAAUGAAAUUUACAAAUUCAAAUUUAUUAAUGUAACCCAUCUCUUCUCUUAAAAGCUGCACCUUGAUUUGAUCUAAAAUAAAAUAUUAUUUAAAGAAAAUUAAAAUUCUUUAAAAAUCUUCGUUACAACAACGAUAUACAAGCAAUUUAAAAGUAAAAUAAAUUGUGGACUAUCAAUUACAGGACAGGUUCCUCUGGUAGGUUUGAGUACCGCCAAGACAUUUAACUUUCAAGCACUUCACUAAUACUAAUCCGGUUUUCUAUAUACGAUAUUAAUAACAGGGUAUCUAAUCCUGGUCUAAAACAAUAUUUUCUUAGAUCAAUUAUCUCUUUAUCCUUUAUUUUAUAUUAAAAUUUCACCUCUCAAUAUAAAUUAUAUAAACUCAUCUAUUAAUUUACUAAAACCAUAAAAAUUAAAUAGCACCUUUUGUAUAACCGCA